rnacentral:misc_RNA from 1 species
AAAGUCGUAACAAGGUCUCCGUUGGUGAACCAGCGGAGGGAUCAUUACCGAGUUUGCUUUUCUAGCUCGAAAACCCACUGUGAACUUACCUCUCCAAUCGUUGCUUUGGCGGCAAAUAGAAGAAGGUUUUACCGUCUAAAGGGAGUAGAAAUACCUCCUCUUUUACGUUACGCUCUUCCUACUAGGCGCCGUCAGAGGAACGCAUCACUAAAACUCUUUUAUUAUACUUUUAAUGUACUAUCUGAGUCGAUAUUUUUAAAUUAUCAAAACUUUCAGCAACGGAUCUCUUGGUUCUG